UUGUAGGACCUAUUUUAGGCUGGAAUUGAGGAUGAAUUGGAAGAAAAAAAUGAGAGACCCGAGAGAAAGAGAGAAGGGAAAUUUGUGGGCUUCUUGAUAAAAUUUGGGUUGUAUUCUUCAAAUUUACUGAUUGGAUGCCCAAAAGAUGAAAGGAGAGUCAUCCAAAGACGUGGAAAGCUCAAAGUUAGAGGUGGAAUUCAGACAAGAAACAAGAAUUUGGAAAGUUGGGGUGUUCGUGGGUUUAAAAAGAGGAAGAACAAGUUUUCGAAUUAGAGCCUUUCUUAUGAAGAAAAAUUGGGCAAAAUGGUAUGAAAUUAAAGAAGUAAAGAACAAGCUAGUGGGGGGUUUGAUUUGAAUAAUCGUGGCUGGAAAAGCAAGGAAAGCGAAGUAAAAUAGUGGCGGUCGGAGUAGACGGCAAGCAUGGGAAACUUGGGAUUUUUUUUUACCAAUUCUAAGAUUUAGAGGCUAAUUUGAAACUCCAAGUUUAAAGGUACCUGUGGAGAUUUUGAUCGAUUUCGGAUAAUUUAGGGCGAUUCGAGGCAGCUUGAGGUAAGAUAGUUUAAGAGAUGAGUAAAAGGUUUGUAUAAUUUAAUUAGAAUGGGUAUGACCGAAAUGAGAGAAAUUGGUCACCGAAAGGUCGUCGGAAAACUACCGAAAUCUGAAAAAUUUUGGACUGAAGGUUGAAGAAAGAGUUGACUUUUAUAGUUGAUUUUUGUCUGACAUCUAUUGUCCAUUAUUAAAAGCUGGAAAAUCUAAUUUUAAGUUAAUUAAAGUGCUUUUAAGCAUGAUUAAAGGUCAAAUUGGAAUUGUUAUGAUACUUUAAACCAAAAAUUAGAAGAAUUUGGGAUCCUAUGCCAUAUUGAAGUUGAUUAAGGGGCUAUUUUAAAGUAAACCUUAAUUAGGGUUAGUGAAAAAAUUAGGUAAAAUUGGACAAAAUUAAGAUUAGUUAAAGUGUUCCUAAUCUUAAUUUAGUUCUAAUGGAUACCAAUAAGAUGUUUUGACCUUGAGAUUGAAUUAAUUUGGAGUCUUAAGUCAAUUUUAAGAUAAAUUAAGGAUUAAAGUGUAAGGUGAAACCUUAAAAUAGGAUGGCAUCAGGAGAAAUUAAGUAUACUCAAGUUUGAUUGAAGUCCUAAUUGAUAUCAUUAAGAUAUAUUGAGCUUAACUUGGAUUAAUUUUGAGGAAAUUAAGGUAAUUUAAAUAAUUAAAAGGACUUAAUUGUGAGUAAACUCUAAAUUGAGUAAAAUUAUAGUUAAAUUGAAAGGGAAACCCUAAAAUUAAAUGAAAAUUGAAGUGAAAUUAGUUCUUGUUGAGGAUUGGUUUUGGGAUCUUAAGUUAAUUUUAACGUAAUUAAAGGACAAAAUUGCAAAAUAAACUAUAAAUUGGAUCAAAUUAGGAUUUUGGGGAAAGUAUAAGUGAAAUUAUUUAUUUUUUAAGGUUAAUUAUGAAGUAAUUUAAUUAUGGUCAUAUGGAGGAUAACUAGGAGAUUAUCAAUAUACGAAUAAACAAGAACCAGAGGAACUAGGAAUUCGAGGAGAAGACGAUUAACAGUGAAUGACUUUAUUUUAAGUAUUUCGAUAUAAAAAUAUACACAUGUGAUAGUAUGCUAUGAUUUAUGAAAUGUGUUGGCAUGAUAUGUUUUACUUGACUAUUAUUUCAGAAAUGCUUUGAAUCAUGAUUUUUGAAUUUUCACUGAUUUUAUAUAAACUGGGGUUAUAAAAAUGUAGUAUGGAACUUGAUUUUACUUUAUUAUAAUUUGUUUGGUUUUGUAAGAAAAUCUUUUGAUGGUGGAAUAAAUGAUGUUGAACGGUUUGUGAAAGUGGUUUCAAACUUCUAAUUCUUGUACCCGAGAGAUGGUUCUUUCCAAGCUACUUCAAUGUGUUUCAGUAGCACCUCUCAGGCGAUCAGGGGGUUACCAGGGUGAAAUGUGGUCAGAAUAUAUCAGAUAGUCUAAAGAAACCUUCACCUAUUGUGCCACCCAGGCUAUCGGAGGGUUACCGGGGUCAGAUGUGGCUAGUGUAUACCGGAAAGUCCAAAGGAACCUGGGCCUGUGGUGUAUAUCCAUAUCUAGCCAUGAGGAAAUUUUGUGUGCACGUAUGACCUUAUUAUUUGGUUUACACUACAAGGGACAUUCCUUGUCCAGAGUAACCCGGUACUGUAAACGAGUAUUUGGGUACAGAGUUGGUGCAGUUGUCUGAUAACUCCUAAUGCUUUAUAAUGUGCUUUCUAUGAAGUAUGAUCAUGUCAUUAUUUGAAUAA